CAGGAUGAACGCUAGCGAUAGGCCUUACACAUGCAAGUCGAGGGGCAGCACAUAAAUUGUAGCAAUACGAUUUGGUGGCGACCGGCGCACGGGUGAGUAACGCGUAUGCAACCUACCUACUACUUUGGCAUAGCUCGUUGAAAGACGAAUUAAUACCUCAUAAAACAGGGGCUCCGCAUGGAGAUAUUUGUUAAAGAUUUAUCGGUAGUAGAUGGGCAUGCGUUCCAUUAGUUAGUUGGCGAGGUAACGGCUCACCAAGACAACGAUGGAUAGGGGAACUGAGAGGUUUAUCCCCCACACUGGAACUGAGACACGGUCCAGACUCCUACGGGAGGCAGCAGUGAGGAAUAUUGGUCAAUGGAGGCAACUCUGAACCAGCCAAGUCGCGUGAAGGAUGACGGCCCUACGGGUUGUAAACUUCUUUUUUAAGGGUAAUAAAGUGAGCCACGUGUGGCUUUUUGUCAUGUACCUUACGAAUAAGGAUCGGCUAACUCCGUG
rnacentral:rRNA from 1 species